rnacentral:rRNA from 1 species
AGCGGCGGACGGGUGAGUAACGCGUGAGAAUCUGCCUUGGGGUCGGGGACAACCACUGGAAACGGUGGCUAAUACCGGAUAAGCCGAUUGGUGAAAGAUUUAUUGCCCGAAGAGGAGCUCGCGUCUGAUUAGCUAGUUGGUGAGGUAAGAGCUCACCAAGGCAGCGAUCAGUAGCUGGUCUGAGAGGACGAUCAGCCACACUGGGACUGAGACACGGCCCAGACUCCUACGGGAGGCAGCAGUGGGGAAUUUUCCGCAAUGGGCGAAAGCCUGACGGAGCAAGACCGCGUGAGGGAGGAAGGCUCUUGGGUUGUAAACCUCUUUUCUCAGGGAAGAAGCUCUGACGGUACCUGAGGAAUCAGCCUCGGCUAACUCCGUGCCAGCAGCCGCGGUAAUACGGAGGAGGCAAGCGUUAUCCGGAAUUAUUGGGCGUAAAGCGUCCGCAGGUGGCGAUUCAAGUCUGCUGUCAAAGCACGGGGCUUAACUCCGUAAAGGCAGUGGAAACUGAAUAGCUAGAGUGCCGUAGGGGUAGAGGGAAUUCCCGGUGUAGCGGUGAAAUGCGUAGAGAUCGGGAAGAACAUCGGUGGCGAAAGCGCUCUACUGGACGGCAACUGACACUCAGGGACGAAAGCUAGGGGAGCGAAUGGGAUUAGAUACCCC